CACCAAGUGUAGUGUUUGGUCACUUUGGGCUAGUGUCUCACGCUAGUAUUACAUUGAAUUUUGGCCAACCUGAUUUUCAUGUUUUGCACGCAAAUAUUGUUGUCUUUCUUUUUUCCUUUAUUCAUGGAUUUUUUUUUUUUUGGUAAUUAACGUGGUAAAUUAGUGAGGAUUUGAGUUUCUACCUUUUGAUGAAAAUGGAAUCAGAGACCUCAAAAAAAAAUAAAUAAAUAAAUAAUUGUGUAUGAGGAUUUGGGCCCUACCUUUUUUGGUGAGACUUGAUACACACAAAACACAUUGAUGUUGCUGUUGUUAGAUGCAUAUAGUUUUCCUUUUGCUUAUAAAUUAAACUAUCGCCAAUAUAAAAUUAGCCCACAGAAGCUCCCGACUGAAUUGGCAGCAUC
rnacentral:lncRNA from 1 species